rnacentral:rRNA from 1 species
AGUUGCCAUCAUUAAGUUGGGCACUCUAAAGAGACUGCCGGUGUCAAACCGGAGGAAGGUGGGGAUGACGUCAAGUCCUCAUGGCCUUUAUGACCAGGGCUACACACGUACUACAAUGGCAGGUACAAAGGGCAGCCACUUAGCGAUAAGGCGCGAAUCCCGUAAAACCUGUCUCAGUCCGGAUUGGAGUCUGCAACUCGACUCCAUGAAGUUGGAAUCGCUAGUAAUCGCAGAUCAGCACGCUGCGGUGAAUACGUUCCCGGGCCUU